rnacentral:rRNA from 1 species
CACGAGCGGCGAACGGGUGAGUAACACGUGGGUGAUCUGCCUCGCACUUCGGGAUAAGCCUGGGAAACUGGGUCUAAUACCGGAUAUGACCUUCCAGUGCAUGCUGGUCGGUGGAAAGAUUUAUCGGUGCGAGAUGGGCCCGCGGCCUAUCAGCUUGUUGGYGGGGUAACGGCCCACCAAGGCGACGACGGGUAGCCGACCUGAGAGGGUGACCGGCCACACUGGGACUGAGACACGGCCCAGACUCCUACGGGAGGCAGCAGUGGGGAAUAUUGCACAAUGGGCGAAAGCCUGAUGCAGCGACGCCGCGUGAGGGAUGACGGCCUUCGGGUUGUAAACCUCUUUCGACAGGGACGAAGCGAGAGUGACGGUACCUGUAGAAGAAGCACCGGCCAACUACGUGCCAGCAGCCGCGGUAAUACGUAGGGUGCGAGCGUUGUCCGGAAUUACUGGGCGUAAAGAGCUUGUAGGCGGUCUGUCGCGUCUUCUGUGAAAACUUGGGGCUCAACCUUAAGCUUGCAGGCGAUACGGGCAGACUAGAGUACUUCAGGGGAGACUGGAAUUCCUGGUGUAGCGGUGAAAUGCGCAGAUAUCAGGAGGAACACCGGUGGCGAAAGGCGGGUCUCUGGGAAGUAACUGACGCUGAGAAGC